rnacentral:rRNA from 1 species
CAGUCGCCGCGGUAAUACGAAGGGUGCAAGCGUUAAUCGGAAUUACUGGGCGUAAAGCGCGCGUAGGUGGUUUGGUAAGAUGGAUGUGAAAUCCCCGGGCUCAACCUGGGAACUGCAUCCAUAACUGCCUGACUAGAGUACGGUAGAGGGUGGUGGAAUUUCCUGUGUAGCGGUGAAAUGCGUAGAUAUAGGAAGGAACACCAGUGGCGAAGGCGACCACCUGGACUGAUACUGACACUGAGGUGCGAAAGCGUGGGGAGCAAACAGGAUUAGAGACCCCCGUAGUCCCUGUCUCUUAUAC